rnacentral:tRNA from 1 species
GCCGGUCUGGCGUAGGUGGUCCGCGCGCCUGUCUGAAGCACAGGAGGACUCGGUUCGAUUCCGGGGGCCGGCA